rnacentral:misc_RNA from 1 species
UCCGGUUUGACACCGGCAGUCCCUCCAGAGAUCCACUUGCGUGGCAACUGAAGGCGAGGGUUGCGCUCGUUGCGGGACUUAACCCAACAUCUCACGACACGAGCUGACGACAGCCAUGCAGCACCUGUGCACGAUCUCCGAAGAGGGGCCCUCGUUUCUGAGAGCUUGCUCGUGCAUGUCAAGCCUAGGUAAGGUUCUUCGCGUUGCGUCGAAUUAAACCACAUGCUCCACCGCUUGUGCGGGUCCCCGUCAAUUCCUUUAUGUUUUAGUCUUGCGACCGUACUCCACAGGCGGGACGCUUAACGCGUUAGCUUCGCUACAAGAAGGGUCGAUACUUCUUACAGCUAGCGUCCAUAGUUUACGGCGUGGACUAC